AGUCACUGACAUUAGAUACCCCUGUAGUCCAGGGUGUAAACGCUGCAGACUUGGUGUUGGGAACCCUUCGGGGGUGCUCAGUGCCGGAGAGAAGUUGUUAAGUCUGCUACUUGGGGAGUACGUCCGCAAGGAUGAAACUUAAAGGAAUUGGGCGGGGGAGCACCGCAACGGGAGGAGCGUGCGGUUUAAUUGGAUUCAACGACCGAAAAACUCACCAGCAGCGACUGUUACAUGAAAGUCAGGUUGAUGACCUUACUAGAUUUUCAG
rnacentral:rRNA from 1 species